ACGGGUGAGUAACACGUGAGCAACCUGCCCUAGGCUUUGGGAUAACCCUCGGAAACGGGGGCUAAUACCGAAUACGACUACUGGACGCAUGUUUGGUGGUGGAAAGUUUUUCGGCCUGGGAUGGGCUCGCGGCCUAUCAGCUUGUUGGUGGGGUGAUGGCCUACCAAGGCGACGACGGGUAGCCGGCCUGAGAGGGCGACCGGCCACACUGGGACUGAGACACGGCCCAGACUCCUACGGGAGGCAGCAGUGGGGAAUAUUGCACAAUGGGCGGAAGCCUGAUGCAGCGACGCCGCGUGAGGGAUGACGGCCUUCGGGUUGUAAACCUCUUUCAGCAGGGACGAAGCGGAAGUGACGGUACCUGCAGAAGAAGCGCCGGCCAACUACGUGCCAGCAGCCGCGGUAAGACGUAGGGCGCGAGCGUUGUCCGGAUUUAUUGGGCGUAAAGAGCUCGUAGGCGGCUUGUCGCGUCGACCGUGAAAACUUGGGGCUCAACUCCAAGCCUGCGGUCGAUACGGGCAGGCUAGAGUUCGGUAGGGGAGACUGGAAUUCCUGGUGUAGCGGUGAAAUGCGCAGAUAUCAGGAGGAACACCGGUGGCGAAGGCGGGUCUCUGGGCCGAUACUGACGCU
rnacentral:rRNA from 1 species